rnacentral:rRNA from 1 species
ACGGAAGGCAGCAGUGGGGAAUAUUGCACAAUGGGCGAAAGCCUGAUGCAGCUAUGCCGCGUGUAUGAAGAAGGCCUUAGGGUUGUAAAGUACUUUCAUCGGGGAGGAAAAAACAAAACUAAUAAUUUUAUUUCUUGACGUUACCCGAAAAAGAAGCACCGGCUAACUCCGUGCCAGCAGCCGCGGUAAUACGGAGGGUGCUAGCGUUAAUCAGAAUUACUGGGCGUAAAGAGCACGUAGGUGGUUUUUUUAAGUCAGAUGUGAAAUCCCUGGGCUUAACCUGGAACUGCAUUUUGAAACUGAAAUACUAGAGUAUCGUAGAGGGAGGUAGAAUUCUAGGUGUAGCGGUGAAAUGCGUAGAUAUCUGGAGGAAUACCUGUGGCGAAAGCGGCCUCCUAAACGAAUACUGACACUGAGGGUGCGAAAGCGUGGGGAGCAAACAGGGAUUAGAUACC